rnacentral:lncRNA from 1 species
CGCCUACGGUAAUGGGGGUCAUCCUGCUCCUGGGCACCUGCCUGGUAGUGCCCCCUCCACUGGAGACCCAGACCUUUUGUGCCUGCAGGGAUUGGGGAGUGGCCUUGGCCCCGGCCUGGGGCUCUGUGCAGGGGAAACCCCACAGGAAACGGGCCUGGCCAAAUGGCCGCCCUUCCCGUUUCGUCCCUGGGACACGAAUGUGCUGUCUCACUUCCGGAGGCGGCCCAGGGAGGCUGGCCGCCCUGCGGGGCCUCGUCUGCUCCCGGUUGGUGCCCCUAGACCUUGAGGAGUCAGGGCUGGGCUGGGGCCCCGCCGUAAAGUGGGUGGCCAGCGUAUGUAAUGUGUGUAUGGCGGGGUCGGCGCAGAACAGGACCCCUCCCUCCACCUGUCUCCCGGGGGUGGCCACCCCCUAUCAUAUCUGGGUGCCGAGGUCCUACCCACGUGCAGUUCCUGAAUGCCAUCCUCCUUCCUGUUUCUGCCUGGGGAAUGAUGACAGCGUAGCCCCUUCCCAAUUAUACACAGCACUCAACGAGUUCCUCACCACAGCAUUGCCCCUGCUUUGCCAAUGGGGAAACGGAGGCCCAGAGAGGUUGAGUUCCCUGCCCAGUGUCGCCCAGCUGGUGCGCUGCAAAGCCAGGGUUCAAAUGCAACUGGACUGGCUCCAGAGUUCAGGGCUCCUAGCCACAGGGCUCUCAUCCUCCGGGAGGUCUCUGUUUACUGAACACAGGGCUGGCUUCACCGGCUGGUGACCUGUGCGGUUCACAGGGUGUUUCCCCACUGAGAAGGACCCCGAGAUUUCAUUUUUUUUUUCCCCACCUGAGUAUUCAUUUUGCACUGAGUCCCAUAAAUUCUGUAGGGAGUCCUGGUGCUGGGUAGUUGCUACAUACUGUUGGUGAAACCUCACUGUAUUACGUGGUAGAGGCUCUUGGUGCCACUGUACAGAUGGAGAGACUGAGGCUUGGAUGGUAUCUUGGAAACCAUGGAGCUGGGAUUUGCACCUGGAGCCUGGGUCUGGUGCUCUGGGUGGGUGCGUGCCUAAAAAAAAGGGGCGCCCCCUGGCGGCGUCCGCUCUGGUGGGGCGCAGGCUGAGGCCUGGCCGCUGAGGAGACAG